UCCUCUGGUCUCAUCUGCAGUAGGAGAGAACUUCAGCAGAGAAUGGAGCUGAUCACAGGCAAUGAGGAGAUAGUAGAAGCCCUGCAACAAGUAGGCAGACUUCUGCAGAGGAACAGGAUGUGUCAGAAAAGCGGGCUGAGCAGGCAGCUCUGCACAGAGAACAAAGGAGUGUUUUGGAGGAGCGGAGAACGGCUGCGUCACAAAGGCUCCAAAGUCUUGUUGCUCAAAUCCAGGAGGCCAAGGAGCUGAAGUCUGGUGAGGGUGGAGCACAACCUUCAAAGCGUGCCCCUAAAAGAAGACCAAG